CAAUAGCGUAUAUUAACGUUGUUGCAGUUAAAAAGCUCGUAGUUGGAUUUCUGGAGGGAGCGUCGGCCCGUAUUUACGAGUGCGUGACGUCUCUGUCCAUCCUUGCGGGAAGGCACGGCAUUGAUUUGUUGUGUCGGAUCGCAUCAUUUACUGUGAAAAAAUUAGAGUGUUCAAAGCAGGCUUUCGCUUGAAUACAUUAGCAUGGAAUAAUAAGAUAGGCCUUUGGUGCUAUUUUGUUGGUUGAGCCUAAAGUAAUGAUUAAUAGGGAUAGUUGGGGGCACCUGUAUUGCGUUGUCAGAGGUGAAAUUCUUGGAUUUACGCAAGACAAACAGCUGCGAAAGCGUCUGCCAAGGAUGUUUUCAUUAA
rnacentral:rRNA from 1 species